CCAGGAGGUGCAAAGAUGAAAAGAAUAAAUGAAAUGAUAAAAGGAGCCGAAUAAUGCAUGACUCCAUAUGGAACCCAGGCCAAAAUAUCAAGGAUGCUAUGCGUGGUUUUCGAGAGAAGACUAGAAAGAUUAGAGCCAUAAAGAAUAUUUUCAAGUGUGGGUAAAACACGAACCCAUAUGGGUGGACGCCAGCGUUCUGGAAUAAACCUACAAGAGUAAAAUAAAAUUGCCCAGGUGAUGAUAACAAUGGCAGGAAAAAAAAUUUGGCGUGUUAAAGGAACGGUCAACGCAAUGGCCAAAAGACAGGCAAUGCCAAAUUUCCCCCAGAAUCCAGGAGAUUCAAUGACAAUACAAGCAAAAAUCAAAUUACCUGCUAGAAACACAUAUUGCAAAUGUGUCCAUGACCAUUUCGUAUUGCGUAGCAAACGAAAUGUAGGCAUAGGGUUUAAGCUUGUUUCCAACUUGUAUUGGGAUGCUCGGUUACACGCAGCAAGGCGCUUUUUUAAGGUCGAAAGAGCAGACAUUGCUUCAAAGAAUUAUCAGAGUAAAAAAGGGAAGCGUACGAAAAAAAUUUCGUAAGGAAUUAACCGGAAAACUAAAGGAAAAAAAAGGAAUUUUUAUGAAGGAAAGAAAGUAGCUAUUAAAUGCAAGUGUCAAGCACUUAAAAGUAGCGAUGUAAAAUAUUUAAAAAAAGAUGGACCGAUUAACCAAUGUUCAGCUCACAGUUGCCAGCAAUCAGGGCUAUUUUUUUAUUUUUUUUAUAAAAUUGCUAAUUAUAUAUAAUAUAAUUAGUUUAUUAACUUGCUUUUCCUCAAAAAACCAAUUCGAGAAAGGAACUUUUGCAGAGGCAAAAAAGCUUCUCCGAAAGAGAUACUAGUUUAAAAACCUUUGGUUGCAAAUACAAACCAAAAUACUCCAAUUUAACUAUACAAUUGGAGUUAGUCGAUUUCAAUUGCCCCGUAUAAAUGGUUCUUUAGAGGUUGGUAGUGGCGAGCUGAGAAUGGUACGGUCGGCUAGUAUUUGUUUAGGUUUGGCAAGUGGUGUUACUGUAGCGCAACACAAGAUAGCCUAGCGAAAACAACGUUAUUUCGAAACUCUAGGUAAUUGGAAGAUAUUCCUUCUCAGGUAACACUAUUCGGCAACGGCAGCCAAUAAAAUAUUUGAAAGCUAAGACUCGUUAUUAAACAAUAAGACACUAAGCUCCAUAUAUAAUUACCGUAUCCAAGUUUACUGCACGGAAAUGAGAAAGCGGAAAGUAAAUCAGAAACAAUUUUAGCGAAAUAAAAUAUGAAUUUCGAUAUAAUAAGAU